GUCUUGAUUCUUCUUGGGCAUGAAGCUACAAGCUUGGCACACCUGUAUUUGGGGAGUUUCUCCCAUUCUUCUCUGCAGAUCCUCUCAAACUCUGUCAGGUUGGAUGGGGAGUGUUGCUGCACUGCUCUUUUCAGGUCUCUCCAGUUAUGUUCGAUCGGGUUCAAGUCCAGGCUCUUGCUGGGCCACUCAAGGACAUUCAGAGACUUGUCCCGAAGCCACUCCUGCGUUGUCUUGGCUGUGUGCUUAGUGUCGCUGUCCUGUUGGAAGGUGAAUGUUCGCCCCCAGUCUGAGGUCCUGAGCGCUCUGGAGCAGGUUAUCAUUAAGGAUCUUUCUGUACUUUGCUCUGUUCAUCUUUGCCAGAAGAUGGAACUAAACUUGUUUCUUCUCUACAGUAAGCAGACAUUGUCCUAGGAUUAGAAGUUUGGUUGGGUUCCCAUGUGUGAUGCGGGUCAGCAAUGUGCUGUUGGCAAAGGUGCAAGAAUUGGGAAGUUGUGCGAGUGUUCACGGGGAACGAGGGAAUCGAGGAUGACGGCUACCAUCUGAUCAAUCAUCCGAUGCCGGUGGGCGGAGCCGGGAGGGUCGUCAGCGACAUGGGACACACCUGGGCCCGGGUGUGUCCCAGGAUAAAUACAGCACUUCCCCCAUUCAUGGAGGAGACUUUCCAUGCAGACACCUUUAUAGGUUUUGUUGUGGUGUUUUUGUGGCCUUUUGUUUGCUUUGGCACCUUUCAACACCCCGCAUCACACUACGGAUUACUGAUUACACACACCAUUGUUAAUUGUAUUUAGUUUACUUUAAUAAAUAUAUUUUGUUAUUCCUUGUCUCCCUUUUGUUACGAACUUCGAGCCGC
rnacentral:lncRNA from 1 species